CUUCCAGCGUUCAGUUUAGCCCCUGCAUUACCACAAUUAUGCCGAUCAACGCGGAGACUGUUAAUCUUGCUGCUACGUACAUGAUCCUAGUGAUCCUGUUAUUCUUCUUGUGGUUGCUGUACUCAGCUGUCUUCUAAUUCACAUCUGCCGACUUUCUAUAAUUACCCGAUUAUAUUUAUAAAUGUGGAUAUGAGGGGCGUGGCGUGUGGGCGGUCGCGACACUUUGCUGUCAGAAUCAGUUUUCUGGAGUGUCCUGUCCAGUGAGCACUGUCCAGCCAUGCCGAACCACGAGACAACGAGCCUAAUCGCAACUUACCUUAUCCUGGUACUUCUACUCGCCAGUCUCUGGCUCUUGUACUCCGGAAUGUUCUGAGAUAAUGGUCGGGAGGAGGCAACAAAAAAGACCAAUGGAGGAAGUAGAAAAUACUACAUAAGUUUAGUUUAAGAAACCGUAAUGUUAGACUAAGUUAAGACCCCAAGCAUUUACGAUCGACGACACCGGGCUAAAAUAAUCAACCAUUAUUCAGUGCUGGGCAUUCCAAUAAAAGAAUUAGAAACACAAAUCAGUACGAUGUCCCAUUUUUUUCAUUCUGUGAAGAUUGUUAUCGUUAUUGUUAAGAACUAAGAAGAUUUGUAAUUAAAUUUUUGUAUUUA